GAUGAAGAACGCAGUGAAAUGCGAUAAGUAAUGUGAAUUGCAGAAUUCAGUGAAUCAUCGAAUCUUUGAACGCACCUUGCGCCCUUUGGCUAUUCCGAAGGGCAUGCCUGUUUGAGUAUCAUGAACACCUCAACUCUCAUGGUUUGCCAUGAUGAGCUUGGACUCUGGGGGUCUUGCUGGCCUAUGGUCAGCUCCUCUCAAAUAAAUCAGCUUGCCAGUGUUUGGUGGCAUCACAGGUGUGAUAACUAUCUACGCUUGUGGUUUUCCAUCAGGUAACCUUCAGUGAUGGAGGUUCGCUGGAGCUCAUAAAUGUCCCUCCUCAGCGAGGACAGCUUUUUGAACGUUUGAUCUCAAAUCAGGUAGGACUACCCGCUGAACUUAAGCAUAUCAAUAACGGAGGA
rnacentral:misc_RNA from 1 species